rnacentral:rRNA from 1 species
AACGAACGCUGGCGGCAUGCCUAACACAUGCAAGUCGAACGAAGUCUUCGGACUUAGUGGCGCACGGGUGCGUAACGCGUGGGAAUCUGCCCUUGGGUACGGAAUAACUCAGAGAAAUUUGUGCUAAUACCGUAUAAUGUCUUCGGACCAAAGAUUUAUCGCCCAAGGAUGAGCCCGAGUAAGAUUAGCUAGUUGGUGGGGUAAAAGCCUACCAAGGCGACGAUCUUUAGCUGGUCUGAGAGGAUGAUCAGCCACACUGGGACUGAGACACGGCCCAGACUCCUACGGGAGGCAGCAGUGGGGAAUAUUGGACAAUGGGCGAAAGCCUGAUCCAGCAAUGCCGCGUGAGUGAUGAGGGCCUUAGGGUUGUAAAGCUCUUUUACCAGGGAUGAUAAUGACAGUACCUGGAGAAUAAGCUCCGGCUAACUCCGUGCCAGCCGCCGCAGUAACAC